rnacentral:rRNA from 1 species
UGAUUGCCCUAGUAACGGCGAGUGAAGAGGCAAAAGCUCAAGUUUGGAAGCUCAAUGGUUUAACCAUUGCGCAUUGUAAACUGAAAACAGGAUCAAUCAGGUACACCGGGUGAUAAGUUCCUUGGAAUAGGACAUCAUGGAGGGUGAGAAUCCCGUCUUUGACCCGAGUCUAGUAUCUUUUGUAUUGGCCUGUUCAAGAGUCAGGUUGUUUGGGAAUGCAGCCUAAAGCUGGAGGUAAAUCCCUCCUGAAGCUAAAUAAUGGCGAGAGACCGAUAGCGAACAAGUACCGUGAGGGAAAGAUGAAAAGAACUCUGAAGAGAGAGUUAAACAGUACGUGAAAUUGCUUAAAGGGAAGCAUAUAAAGCUAGGAUGCGAUUGUUUUCUUCAGGUUGAGCUUUGGCUUGACUGUUCAGAAGGAUAAUCCAAGACAACAAGAAUUGGAGGAGGAGAAUAAGCCAUUGGGGAAGGUAAUCCUUCGGGAUGUUUAUAGACCUGAUGGUUCGCGCUCUUCUUUCGAUUGAGCUACGCUUUUCUUAAAGGUUGUUGACUGAAUG